rnacentral:lncRNA from 1 species
GUAGCGAAGGGAGAGCGUGGUCACCCCACCCGGACUCGAACCUGGUUCUACAGGGUGUCAAACAUGCGCUCUGACCGCCACACCAAAGAGCCCGGCUCAAUGGCAUGGCAGCCAGAGAGCAUAUUCACCUGUAGGGACGAUCACAUCGUCACACUGCCCUCACCUUCGGGAAGCGCACCCAUGCGCUUCACAUACACAGACAUCCCUCACGCAUUCACCCAACCAUGGGGUCCUUCACACGGUGCUUCACCCAACCAUGGAGUCCUUCACACGGGGUUAUCAUUCCUGGGGGUCCCUCACACAAUGUUCACGGGUGCGCUUCCGAUGACCUCACAGCAAGGCAUCCCACUUCUGACACCAUUUGUAGCGAAGGGAGAGCAGGGUCACCCUACCCGGACUCGAACCCAGGUCUACAGGGUGCCAAACAUGCUCUCUGACCGCCACACCAAAGAGCCAGGCUCAAUGGCAUGGCAGCCAGAGAGCAUAUUCACCUGUAGGGACGAUCACAUCGUCACAGCUCCACACACCUCCUCCUCUCCUCCCUUCUCCUCUCCUCUCCUCUCCUCACCUCUCCUCUCCUCUCCUCUCCUCUCCUCUCUUCUCUUCUCUUCUCUUCUCUUUUCUUCUCUUCUCUUCUCUUCUCCUCAGCUCUCCUCCCCUCUCCUCUCCUCUCUUCUCUUCUCCUCUCCUCUCCUCUUCUCUUCUCUUCUCUUCUCUCCUCUCCUCUCCUCUCUUCUCUUCUCUUCUCCUCUCCUCUCCUCUCCUCUCCUCUGCUCCCCCCCUCCCUCUCCUCUCCUCUCCUCUCCUCUCCUCUCCUCUCCUCUCCUUUCCUCUCCUCUCCUCUAAUCUCCUCUCCUCUCCUCUCUUCUCUUCUCUUCUCCUCUCCUCUCCUCUCCUCUCCUCUUCUCUCCUCUCUUCUCUUCUCCUCUCCUCCCCUCUCCUCUCCUCUCCUCUCCUCUCCUCUCCAGCCUCCUCAUUAUCCACCCCACGAGAGGGGACGUGGUGGGGGUUAAGGGGCCUGAAGACUGACCCCUGAAGUUUUACAGGCCUG